GGCCAAGUUUUUAAGGGCGCACGGUGGAUGCCUUGGCACCAGGAGCCGAUGAAGGACGUGGUAGGCCGCGAAAGGCCUCGG
rnacentral:rRNA from 1 species